rfam:Rattus norvegicus chromosome 1, whole genome shotgun sequence.
GGAGAUUUAGCUCAGCGGUAGAGCGCUUGCCUAGCAAGCGCAAGGCCCUGGGUUCGGUCCCCAGCUCCA